rnacentral:rRNA from 1 species
GAUGAACGCUGGCGGCGUGCCUAAUACAUGCAAGUCGAGCGAACAGAUGAGAAGCUUGCUUCUCUGACGUUAGCGGCGGACGGGUGAGUAACACGUGGGUAACCUACCUAUAAGACUGGGAUAACUCCGGGAAACCGGGGCUAAUACCGGAUAAUAUUUUGAACCGCAUGGUUCAAUAGUGAAAGACGGUUUCGGCUGUCACUUAUAGAUGGACCCGCGCCGUAUUAGCUAGUUGGUAAGGUAACGGCUUACCAAGGCGACGAUACGUAGCCGACAUGAGAGGGUGAUCGGCCACACUGGAACUGAGACACGGUCCAGACUCCUACGGGAGGCAGCAGUAGGGAAUCUUCCGCAAUGGGCGAAAGCCUGACGGAGCAACGCCGCGUGAGUGAUGAAGGUCUUCGGAUCGUAAAACUCUGUUGUUAGGGAAGAACAAAUUUGUUAGUAACUGAACAAGCCUUGACGGUACCUAACCAGAAAGCCACGGCUAACUACGUGCCAGCCGCCGCAGUAA